ensembl:lncRNA
GCUAAUAGCGGUUCAGCACCAAAUCUUGGAUGAUUUCAUAAUAUGGAAACAAGACCAGACUGGAAAAACUACAGCAGAGAAAAGCCAUUUCACUUUGGAUCUUCUGUGACUAUUUGGUGUAGUGAUGUUUAGUAAGAUUUAAGGUACUGAAAGAUGUCCAGUGCAAUAAUUCAAGAUUUGAAUAAGCGUAUUACUAGAUUUUUGUGAAUUUACUACCUGUGGAAAGUGCUGGAUUAACAGUUCUGGUGUAUCUAUCUACUACUACUCUCAGUGCAUCCUUGGGAAAAUUAGUAAAUCUGUAUUUUGGAUAUUCCCAAGUCAUAACAACAAAGCAGAGCUCCUUGCCUGAGACCCAUGACAAAGAUACAGUGUGCAGCCUGAAGAACAGGUUGGAACUCAGACCAAGGAAUGGUUUUUAUCUCCAUGAAAAAAAAAAGGCAUGUCUUCGUGAUGGUUGGAAACAAAACCUUUUCAUAUUUGUACAGGAAGGUGCUACCCGCAGACUUCAUAAGUCAGCAGAUCGACUCUGUCUGGUCUAGAGAAUGUCUAGAACAUGGAUAUCCAUCAUCUCAUCAUUAUUAUGAAAAUGCUUUGAGUGGUAUCAGGAGUGGGGUGGAUGUGCUAUCAAGACCUGCAGUCCACAGAGCAGUGCACUGUUGUACAGUUCUAGGGCUCCAUCACCCACCCCCUCCUCCUCCUCAGCGUCGCCAGCACUACCCAACACCGUCAUUCAAAAAGACACUCUUAAAUAUCUGCAAGUUUUCUCAACAGUGUGAAAUGCUGAAGGAAAAGAGAUGAGAAGCUGGAAGUAGCUUCUGCAAUGCAUCAUUUGACAGGAAGUCAAGUUAUCGGAAUGAAGCCAUAUAGGUAUCAAUCUUACACCCAUAUAUGGUGUACAUCCCAGUUACCAUACAGAUAUGAAAGGGCCAUUAGGGCCCCUUAUCAGCUGUAUAUUGGUGUAAUUAAAGGGUUUGAUAGCAUUAACCUGAACUGUGAAAGUCUCCAGACAAUGCACUCUAUCAGUCAUCUGACCCUUGAGAUUAAACAGCUACAGUAAGAAGACUUUCUCCUCUACUUUCCAAAGGACACACUGAUUUGCUGAGUUCAGUGGACCUUUAAAGGAAAAGACUUGCUUUUUCUCCUUAAAAGCAAACUGUUCUUUUUGAUCUAGCCUUCUAAUUUAACAACAUAAAAAAAAAAAAAAAAAAGAAAUUUCUUCCUGAAUGUAUUGUUAUAUUUUGAUGAAUAUUUAAUGAAGGAUAAUGUUGAAUUUAUACCUUUUUAGUUCAUGUGUUUUUGUAGCUGUGCCUUGUUUUCCAUUUCAGCUCAUGUCCUUUUGUGGUCAAAUAACAUGAGGAUUUAGUAACUGUGUGUAUUUCAAGGGUCCAUGUAAGCCCCCAAAUUCUUGAUAUCAUUUUCCAUUUCCCAAACAAUAAGAAGUUCAGAUUUGGACCAGUAACCUAAACAAAAUCUGGAACUCAGCAGCUAAUUGCCUUUUUGUCCUGUUGUCUUGCAGAAGUGCUAAAUGAAGCCUGUCAUUUGCUAUCCCAAAGGCUUGCUAAAUUUUCAGCACAGAUGAUGGGGAACAACAAAAGCUGCUAAUCAUCAGGAAGAUUUAAUCAGCAUUUUAUUUGGGAGAAUUUGGGUAUAUCUUUGAUUCUUAGUGAAAAAGUAGUCCACAAUCUUGUUAAAAAAAAUAAAGAUAUCAAAAAAAUAAAAAGAAUAUUGUUU